CGGCAAUGGAGGAAACUCUGACCGAGCAACGCCGCGUGAACGACGAAGUACUUUGGUAUUAAAGUUCUUUUAUCAAGGAAGAAAAGCAAGUGGCGAACCAUUUGUUUGCCGGUACUUGAUGAAUAAGCCCCGGCUAAUUAUGUGCCAGCAGCCGCGGUAAGACAUAAGGGGCAAGUGUUAUCCGGAAUUAUUGGGCGUAAAGGGUGCGUAGGCGGUCUAGUAAGUCAGUGGUGUAAUGGCAACGCUCAACGUUGUCCGGCUAUUGAAACUGCUAAACUUGAGUUAGAUAGAGGCGAGUGGAAUUCCAUGUGUAGCGGUAAAAUGCGUAAAUAUAUGGAGGAACACCAGAGGCGUAGGCGGCUCGCUGGGUCUUAACUGACGCUGAGGCACGAAAGCGUGGGGAGCAAACAGGAUUAGAUACCCUGGUAGUCCACGCCGUAAACGAUGAGUACUAAGUGUCGGGUUAAACCGGUACUGAAGUUAACACAUUAAGUACUCCGCCUGAGUAGUACGUACGCAAGUAUGAAACUUAAAGGAAUUGACGGGACUCCGCACAAGCGGUGGAUCAUGUUGUUUAAUUCGAAGAUACCCGAAAAACCUUACCAGGUCUUGACAUGUUUUUGCGAAACGGUAGUAAUAUCGUAGAGGUUAUCAGAAACACAGGUGGUGCAUGGUUGUCGUCAGCUCGUGUCGUGAGAUGUUAGGUUAAGUCCUAAAACGAGCGAAACCCUUAUCGUUAGUUGCCAGCACGUUAUGGUGGGGACUUUAACGAGACUGCCAGUGAUAAACUGGAGGAAGGUGAGGAUCACGUCAAAUCAGCAUGCCCCUUAUGACCUGGGCUACAAACGUGAUACAAUGGCUGUUACAAAGAGUAGCUGAA
rnacentral:rRNA from 1 species